GAUUUUAUAACUUAUUUUAAAGUAUAAUUCUGAAAAAAUUAAUAUGGUACUACCUAAAAUCA
rnacentral:tRNA from 1 species